GACGAACGCUGGCGGCGUGCCUAAUACAUGCAAGUAGGACGCAGUUGCGAACGGGUGAGUAACGCGUAGGUAACUGCCUAUUAGAGGGGGAUAACUAUUGGAAACGAUAGCUAAUACCGCAUACUAGUAGAUGGACCUGCGUUGUAUUAGCUAGUAGGUAGGGUAAUGGCCUACCUAGGCGACGAUACCUAGCCGACCUGAGGUGGUGAGCGGCCACACUGGGACUGAGGCACGGCCCAGACUCCUUCGGGAGGCAGCAGUAGGGGAUCGUCGCCAAUGGGGGGAACCCUGCCCGUGCAACGCCGCGUGAGGGGAGAAGGUUUUCGGAUCGUAAAACUCUGUUGUGAAGGGAGCGGUACUUAACCAGAAAGGGACGGCUAACUACGUGCCAGCAGCCGCGGUAAUAC
rnacentral:rRNA from 1 species